GCGCGGCCGUGGCGCGGCAGCGGCGGGGCCGUUCUGUCGCCAUGGCCGACAUGGAGGACCUCUUCGGCAGCGACGCCGACUCGGAGCCUGAGCAGAAAGAUUCCGAUUCUGGAUCUGAAUCUGAUUCCGAUCAGGAGAAUGCUGGCUCUGGUAGUAAUGCUUCUGGAAGCGACAGUGACCAGGAUGAUGACAGAGAGGCAAUAAAACCUAGUAAUAAGGAGUUAUUUGGAGACGAUAGUGAGGAUGAAGGGGCAUCCCAUCACACAGGGAGUGACAACCACUCUGAAAGAUCCUACAAUCGCUCUGAAGCUUCAGGACAUUCUGAGCACGAAGAUAAUGAUCAGUCAGACAUGGACCAGCACAGUGUUUCAGAAGCUGCUCAUGACGAUGAGGAGGAUGAUCACGGGCAUGGGUCAGAUGAAGGCAGUCACCAUUCAGAGGGAGAUGGUUCUGAAAAAGCACAUUCAGAGGAUGAGAAGUGGGGCAAGGAGGACAAAAGCGAUCAGUCAGAUGAUGAGGAGAGACAGCAGAACUCUGAUGAUGAGGAGAGACAGCAGAACUCUGAUGAUGAGGAAAAAGUGCAGAACUCUGAUGAAGAUGAAAGGCCACAGAUAUCUGAUGAUGAGGAAAGACUCCAGAACUCAGAUGAGGAGAAAAUGCAGAAUUCUGAUGAUGAGGAGAGGCCACAGGCCUCAGAUGAGGAGAAGAUGCAGAACUCAGAUGAUGAUGAAAGGGCCCAGCCUUCUGACGAGGAGAAGAUGCAGAACUCGGAUGAUGACGAAAGGGCCCAGCACUCCGAUGAGGAGGACCAAGAGCAUAAAUCUGAGUCUGCAAGGGGCAGUGAUAGCGAAGAUGAAGUUCUGCGAAUGAAGCGGAAGAAACCGAUUGCAUCAGAUUCAGAAGUGGACAGUGAGACAGAAGGACAGAAAGAGCACGCAGAUGUCAUGGAUCUGUUUGGAGGUGCAGAUGACAUUUCCUCAGGGAGUGAUGGAGAAGACAAGCCACCAACCCCAGGACAGCCCAUUGAUGAGAAUGGACUGAGUCAAGAACAGCAGGAAGAAGAGCCUAUUCCAGAGACUAGAAUAGAGGUAGAAAUACCAAAAGUAAACACAGACUUGGGCAAUGAUUUGUAUUUUGUGAAGCUGCCCAACUUCCUUAGCGUGGAGCCCAGACCUUUUGAUCCCCAAUAUUAUGAAGAUGAAUUUGAAGAUGAGGAGAUGCUUGAUGAAGAGGGUAGAACUAGGUUAAAGCUUAAGGUAGAAAACACAAUACGAUGGCGGAUGCGACGUGAUGAGGAAGGGAAUGAGAUCAGAGAAAGUAAUGCUCGAAUAGUCAAAUGGUCAGAUGGAAGCAUGUCUCUCCACUUGGGCAAUGAGGUCUUCGAUGUGUACAAGGCGCCACUACAGGGAGAUCACAACCAUUUGUUUAUCAGACAAGGGACAGGUCUACAAGGACAGGCUGUUUUCAAGACAAAGUUAACCUUCAGGCCACACUCUACAGACAGUGCCACUCACAGGAAGAUGACUCUGUCUCUGGCAGAUAGAUGUUCAAAGACCCAGAAAAUUCGUAUUUUGCCAAUGGCAGGUCGCGAUCCAGAGUCUCAGCGCACAGAAAUGAUUAAGAAAGAAGAGGAGAGAUUAAGAGCUUCCAUUCGUAGAGAAUCUCAGCAGCGAAGAAUGCGGGAGAAGCAGCAUCAGCGUGGUCUGAGUGCAAAUUAUUUAGAACCCGAUCGCUAUGAUGAAGAGGAUGAGGGAGAUGAUGCAAUCAGUCUAGCAGCUAUCAAAAACAGAUACAAAGGUGGCAUCAGAGAGGAACGUGCUAGAAUCUACUCUUCUGACAGUGAUGAAGGCUCAGAUGAAGAUAAAACACAAAGACUACUCAAGGCAAAGAAACUUACUAGUGAUGAGGAAGGUGAGCCUUCUGGAAAGAGAAAAGCAGAGGAUGAUGACAAAGCAAGUAAGAAGCAUAAGAAAUACGUGAUCAGCGAUGAAGAGGAAGAAGAUGACGAUUAAUAUUAAGGAAGCACAAAAGUUGAUUUUUUUUUUUUUUUUUAAUAUAUAUUUAUAUAUAUAUUGUACAGUUCUCUUACAGCAAAGAUGUUUGUUCAGCUGGGAAGUCACUGGAGGAGAAGAUUCUGGACAGAAUGACUGCUGCUUUUACACUAUAUCUAAAUACCUUACUUGAUUAUGCAAUACCAGUUGUAAAGUGGGGAAAGGCUAGAAGAAAUACCUGAACUUUUCCAUGCUUUCUUUCCAAGAUGAAAUACCCCAUAUGUAGUUGUUUCUCGUUGGUGAGAGAGCAUUCAGAUGUUAUCUGUGCUGCUUUUUUAACUGACUUUUCACACAGGCCUACGGAGUUUGAAUGCGACUUGAAAAAGGUAACAGAAGGAAAACAGAACUAGCUUAAUGCUUCUUUAAACAAAACCAUUGACUGAUGCUGUGAAAAGAUUAUUAUGUGGAUUUGUGUUACAUAAGAUGAAAUAAAGUAGCUGAUAGUUACAUAAGAAGAACUGUUACCCAUGUCUCUCCUGCCCAGCUGAAUUCUGCUUUUUUUAUAAAACAGUAGAAGGGUGCAAGUGCCUCAUAGUGAGCAUUUUGCUCUCAUGACAUUCCCUAGUUCUUUGAGAUACAGCUUUCAACCUGGACAUCUUGCUUUCAUCAUCUUUAAUUAGGCUAGUAGUUUGUCAAAAUACUCUGCCUCCAUUUCUGCUGCCUGGAAGGUACGGGAAGUGUUCUAGCUGCAGCAGGACGGAGCUCUGCAUGUGUUAAUAUAUUCUGCUGAGCAGCUGACUGCAGUGUAGACAUUUGCAAGUAUGAAAACAAAGUGAAGAAUUUCAACUUGGAAGUCUGAGUGCCUGAGAAACUGUUCUUUUUUCUAUAAUUAAAUCGUUACCUAAGAGUUCCUGUGCCUCUUUAAUGUGCAGAUAAAACCUUUCUCCAUCUGCUGGAAUUUUGACCCUGUAAUCCUCUUAGUUUAGACCUCUGCUGGGAGACUGGUUCCUUACAUGAGGUUACCUGCUUUUCAUUUGCAACCUUCUCGGGAAGAAGCUAGCCGUUUAGAAAGGGACUCAUUCUGUAUGGACCUAACGUGCUCUAUUUUGAUGUAAAAUCAUCCCAGAUACCUCUUAAACAACGAAUUUGGCGUGUGGAAACACACCACCAAUUCACUGGUGAUAUGUUUGCUUUUAUGUCAGUUUUUAAUAAAAGUGUUGGCUAUUUUUAUUUUUACUACACUCCUAAGAGUGAAAAUGUUUUAAUCACUUUCAUAGGUUUGAUGCUGACUAAGCCUUUACUAAGUAAGUGGUCCACUUUAGCUUCCAAAAAUGAGGCUUUUUGUGGAUUACAAAGAUGAAAAGAAGUAAAUUUUUUACACUGUCUUCUUUUGUAAAUUGCUCUUUCAAAGUCUUACUUAAAUGUGGAAUUUUAGAAAGUGUUUUCUCAGUUUAAAUUGGUUUAACAGUCAUCUUGUAGUUAAAGUCACUUGAAUGAACUUAGCCUUAUCCACAGUAUUUUUUAGUUGUUAUUCUAACAUAUGGUUUUAUUUAACUCAAACACAGUUUUUGCUAUCCCUUUUUCCAGCCUCCAAGUAUGAGAGAAUUACUUGGGAUUGUUUCAUUUUACCAAAAUUAAAAAUAUUAACCAAAGGAAAGAGAAUGUGGAUUGAACUGUGUACUCUUGUACUGACUGGUCAGAAUACUUCUUCCAGAAAGGGCAUGAUCUGAACAACUUCCAACAAAGAAAAAUUUCUUUGAAGAGCUGGUAUUAAGCUGUGCGAGUGCUCGAUAUUCUGGCUAGUGGCAGGAUGUAGGAUAAAUUCUCACGAAACAGUUACUGAAAGCUGUUCUUGGUUAUAUAGUUUUGUUUCAAGUAUAUCCUUCAACUGUAUCCUGGUUUCCAGUUGUUGAUCUGGAGUUUUCUUUCUAGUACCUGGUAGUAUUUUCCACCAGCCAUUUUUCUCCAUACUAGCCAUGCAACUUGUCACGGAUUUCAUGUUGCAGCACACCUGAUGGAUCAGGGAGUGCCCACUGAAAGGAGCAGUUGCUCAUGCAGUCCUUGGCUCUUCCUAGCUGCAGGUUUGGCAAUAACUAGCCCAACUCAGUGAGUCAACUUGCUAAACUGUCAGGAAAUGUCCUUUUUGUUGAGUUCUUGUGUUUUCUGCCGGGUAUGCCUGCAGAACUGCCUUAUUGGCUGUGUGAGCAUCAGAGCCAGCUCAGUAAGUUGGUGUCAUCAUGACUUGGGGGACAUGAGGGAACGGCCUCUUUGGCAGAGGUAAACAUUUACUUGACUUUCUUUCGAAAACUUACCCUGACCAUACAGAAAGGAGCGAAUGGUUUUCUACUGAUGUAGCUGCCUGAACUGGCACAUUGAAAAGUCAGCUGUGCCUUGAGUUGGCGCAAGGGGAAGCAGAGGUGGAGCAGGACAGAUUGUGUAUGUGGCAGCAAGUUUUAGCUCAGCUCUGAUACGAAGCAGCAGCCUGAGGAAUGUGUUAAACAUGAGAUGGUGACUUUCCCCUGAAGUCAUGGGUAUUUAUUUCUCAGCCAGUAGGCACAGGGUUCCUCAGUGUCAGCCAAUUCUAGCAGAGUGCUUUUGUUUAACAGCAUUAGACUGUAAUCAAGCUCUCUGGGUGGUGUUGAAUGUAUAGAGAUUGUUACAUGGGAAUGAUUGAGAAGAUGAUUUGUUUCUGAUAAAUGUUCUUUUAAUUUUUGCUAUAAGAGGUAUAACGUCUUACACUUGUGAAACUUAGGCUAAUUCUAAUGCUCACGAGCUUGCGUCUGGCUUGACUUGGAAGUGCUUCUUGGAGAGCAAUGUGACUAAUACCUACUGUUGCUUAGUGAUGCCCUUUGACUUGAGCUGGGGUUUUUCAAUACUUGUCUGGACAUGAAAGACUUGCAGAAAAGCUGCAAACUGAUAUUGAUUACUAGCUUGUAUCUUUAUUGUUUUAAAACUCCUGGGCAUUCCAAGGAAUUAUAUAAGAUAACUAGUUGAGAAAAUAACAUUAAGUAAAUCUAUGCUGAAAUGAUUCUCUGACACAAAGCCUUUUUGAAAAAGAAAAUCCUUUGACAAGACUUGGUUUCUUGAGGGUUUUGGUGGUGGUUUUUAAAGGGUAUUUUUAUGCUUUAAAAGCCUAUGAAUCUUAGUUUACUAGGCUGAUAUUUGGAAGAAAUCAGUUAUAAAAGUGGAAGCUUAACUUCAGAAAGUGGUUUUUGUUUUGGUCUGGUUUUUGUUUCCAUUAAGGCUUAGUCUUGAAGAAAUGAGAGGUGGUAGAGCCAGUUUACAAACAAACGUAACUUUGUAUCUCUGGGUUAUGUUGAAACUUUCUGGGAAGCAGUAGCAUUCAUGCAGUUAUUUUUAGUGAUGGAAUCAUAUCUGUGUUGUAUUCUUUAUUUAUUGUAAAUGAAAGAUUAAUAAAAUCUUAUAAAACAGUGGAA